rnacentral:misc_RNA from 1 species
AUGGAAUUAUCAAUGCAAAUUACUCAAACUUCAAAGGAUCCAGAGACGAAAGGGUUUGAUUUGUCAGCUGGAAAUACUUGGGUUUAUCCGGAGAAUUAUCCAGUUCGCAAAUAUCAAUAUAAUAUAGUUGAGACUGCUUUAUAUCACAAUACUUUAGUUUGUUUACCUACUGGUUUGGGAAAGACAUUUAUUGCUGCUGUUAUAAUGUACAAUUUCUGGAGAUGGUUUCCAUUUGGAAAGAUUGUAUUUCUUGCACCGACAAAACCUUUGGUUGGUCAACAGAUUGAUGCAUGUUAUGAAAUAAUGGGAAUACCAAGUGUUGAUAUGAUAAAACUUACAGGUGCAGUUAAUCAGAAAAACCGUCAAAUAUAUUGGUUCAAAAAGAGAAUAAUAUUUGCUACUCCUCAAGUAUUUCACAAAGAUCUUGAAAAAUCAAUUGUACCCAGCCAUUUAGUUAAAUGUGUUGUUGUGGACGAGGCUCAUAAAGCUUUAGGGAAACAUUCAUAUUGUGAGAGUAUCAGAAUAUUAUCCACACAGAAUAAAUAUUUUAGGAUAUUGGCACUUUCUGCUACACCUGGAAAUAAAAUAGAUAAUGUUCAUGAGGUAAUACAAAAUUUAUAUAUCUCUCAUUUGGAAUUGAGAGAUGAAGAUUCAAUAGAUAUAAUACCAUAUGUUAAUAAGAGAAAAAUUGAUACUAUCUUGAUACCUCUCAGUAAUGAAUUGGCUCAGUUCAAAGAAAGAUAUAUUAUUAUUAUGGAUCGUCAUGUGAAGUUUCUUAUACAAUAUAACGUACUGCGAGGACAUACUGCAAACAUAUCAAAAGGAAGAAUAUUUCACUUGCUAAAUGAAUUCAAAGAAAGGACAAACAAAUCCGGAAAUUAUGGACAAAUUAUGAAAACUUUGAAUAUAUUAUUAACUAUGUAUCAUGCUUAUGAUCUUAUGAUUAGACAUGGAUUGCGAGCCUUUUGCAAAUUUUAUCAAAAUCAUUCUGAUAAAUUCUGGAUGAAUAAUGAAAAUCAGUUAAGACAACUACUUUAUGACAUAGAAACUUAUCUUGGGCCAUUUCCAGAUAUUCUUCCCAAUGGUCAUGUAUCUGAGAUGCCAACGAACAUUAUGUUUGGACAUAAUAAAUUUUAUAAAUUGAAAGAGUUACUUGAACGCCAUUUUAGAAAGAAUAAUGGCGAAAAUGCGGACACAAGAGCUAUAGUCUUUGUAGAAUAUAGGGAUAUAGUCAAUGAAGUCUACAUUUUGCUUCUACAAUCGAAACCAUUAAUUAGGCCGCAAAUGUUUGUCGGUCAAGCUAGUCAGAAACAGAAGCAGCAAAUAAAAGCAUUGGAAGAUUUUAGAAAUAAUCACGUGAAUGUGUUGAUUUCAACAAGUAUAGGUGAAGAAGGAUUGGAUGUUGGUGAAGUAGACCUAAUAAUAUGCUUUGAUGUAUCACAACAUUCUCCAACCCGGUUAGUUCAAAGAAUGGGAAGGACGGGACGCAAACGAGAUGGUCACAUAAUUAUUCUUGUUACAGACGGAAAAGAGUACGAGAAUCUGAAAUCCACACUCUCUAAGAGGAAUUCCAUAAACAAUAAGAUAUUAAAUACAAGCAAUAUAUUUUCCUCCUUAUAUCAAAGCAAUCCUAGAAUGAUACCGAAUCAAUUCACUCCAGAAUGUCACAUGAUGCAUAUUACUCCAGUACAGAAGACACCAAAUGUUAGUAGUAAAAGGAAAAAGAAAAGAGUCAACAAGGAAAACGAAGCAUCUAGCAUAAAACAAAAAGAGACAACAUCAAAUAAUGCAGGUGAAUCAUUAAUGAUGAAAUUUCUUACCAAUAAUAAAUAUGAGCAAAAGCAAAACGGUGCGUGUAAUAUCUACACAUUAACAACACAGAGUGGUAAUGUACAUAAUACAAUAGAUCCCAACCACGUCAAACUUUUAUCCGAUGAUAACGCAGGAAUCGAUUUCAUGACGUUAUGUGCAGUUAAAAAAUCAGAGGAAGAAAUAUCUUCCGAAAUUGUGCGUAAAAUGGAUACAACCUACAUUCCUGCAGCAAAACCAGUUAAAGAUCCAUUCAACUUUGUAAUACCUGAUAUACAAAUUCUCGAUUCUUUACCUCUCUUAAUAACAAAUUUAAUUAAUCAUCUACCAAAGACAGAGGAAAACCGUGAAAACGAAAAUAUUCAGAAUGAUAAUAAUCACAUUAGUAUCGACGAUGAUAACUUCUGGUGCACUAUUCCAAACAAGAGAAACAUUGAUACCGAUGAAGUAAGAUUCGAGGACAUACUGGAUGAUAGUUCCGACUCAAAUAUAACCAUAGUUUCAUUCGUGAGUCGAGCAAUUGAUGAAAUUGAGAUAGAUUCAGUUGAUACAAGUAAAGUUCUUUCAUCUAGUAUAAAAGAUAACAAUGACAUUGUGAUUGAUCGUGCAAAAACAGAACUAUCGGAUGAUAUACUCAAUAAAAUGGAACCCGGUAUGUUUGAAAAUAUUUUAGAUGACUCGUUUAGUUCAACUGAUGAUGAUUUAGAAACUAAAGAUACAGCGCACCCAAAUAUAGUAUCUUCAAACUUUUCAAACACCUCUGAUAAAAAUACAGAUGAUAUCAAUGCAGCUUCUGAAAGUAUUGCUGAUAUUUUUCUGGACGACACGAACGCUGAUGAAUUUAAUCAAAGCUUAUUGGCACCUGCGAAAUCAGUGGAACUCGAUCAAGCAAAUAAACCGACAGAAAACUAUAUAGAUGAUAUAGACGAAAUAGAUCUUAUUUUCAGUGAUGAUGAUAUCAUGGCUGAAUUUACAUCUGAUAAAUUUAAUAAGAGUAAAUCAAUACAUAAUUCAAAACCGGAAGAGAGCUUCUUAUCCAUAACUCAAGCUAUCGAAGAAAUAGCAAGGAUAAAAAAAAAUGUAGAGAAAUCGCCGGAACUUUGCGUAAGUAAAAGAGAUAGUAGUCCCGAAUGGAUUUCAACUGAUAACAAGCGUCAAGCUAGAAUCGAAAAAAGAAACACACGUUCGGGAUUAAAGGAUAAACUGUCUCAUAUCAAUUUCAACUCUAUCACAAAGUCAUACAACGCGAAACGGCACUUGGACUUUCAAGAUUCCGAUGAAGACUUCAUGAUCACAGAGGAUAACGUAAAGAAAUUCGACGAACUUGAAAGCAGUUAUUUUUGCCGUACAUCGAAAACUUCGAAGAACGGAAGUAAUCAUUUGCACAAGACGAACAACUUGGUAAACAAUAAAAACUACUUCGGUGAUACAUCGAAGAGCUUUGCAGCUGGAAAUAGCAACUUUUACAGCACGUCGAAAGAAGCAAAACUGCUCGGUAACCCGACAUUAGUCGAUAACAAGCGUUCCAUGUUAUCUCUGAAAAGAAGCAAAAAUCCGUGUUCGAGCACGAUAGAUCUGAGUGCUUUUAAAGCGCCUAGCAAAUGCAUUAACAGCAGACAAGAACAGAAUGCUUUGGGAUCCGACAUUAGUACAUCGAAGCAAAUAUCCUGCCUGAAUAGAGAAAUUACGCGGAAAAUCAGCUUUAAGCAUGAGAGGAAAAGACAGAAAAAUGAAUUUAUAGACGACGAGGCGCAGGCGAGUUCUAACGACAGUACUUCGGACGAAAGUACUUCCACGAUAGACGAGGAACUGCGAGAUUUUGUAAGCUACACUCAAAAUGUAGAGAAUCAAGUGGAUAUGGAGGCGCAUUAUUUGCAAACUGUUAAGAGUCCGAUCAGAAGACCCGGUGCAUUCCAUUUCAAGAAGCCGCGAUUACCUGAUCCAAAUGUGGAGAUCUAUUCGCAGUCUUUGUCACAAGUGCAUGACUCGUAUCUUUAUGAUUCGUUCUGCGUAAGAGAAGACGCUGAGGAAACGAGUGUAUUUCAUAACGAGUCGAUAUUGGAAGUAGCCGAGAGGAAAUUGGAAUGCAAUAAACGCAAGCGUCUCCAUUUGAAUAAGGAUAGUGCGAAGCAAAUUAACAAAAGGAAAAAUAUGAACAUCUUGAACAAGUCCGUAAGCAGCGAGGACGAGAUUGAACAACUACGUAUAGAAGUGCAAGAAGACUGAUUUCCGGUGUUGUGAGUUAACGAAAUUGUAUUGAACUAUGGUCCUUUUUGAUGAUAUAAUUAUGAUAUAAAAGGACGAAAGGGCCAAUAAUAGAUGCUCUAGUAGACCAAAAUGCUCCCAAUCCUAUCUGAUUUUGUUUAUGGCUAGGCACAAGCAG